rnacentral:rRNA from 1 species
ACAAACGCUGGCGGCAUGCCUAACACCUGCCAGUCGAACGGACAGAACAGGGAAGCUUUUCGGAGUGGAACUGGAAAGUUAGUGGCGGAUGGGUGAGUAACGCGUGGACAACCUACCUUGUAAAGGGGAAUAACCUCGAGAAAUCGAAGCUAAUACCCCAUAAUAACCUUGCUUCGCAUGAAGUAAGGAGGAAAGGCGGCCUUAGCGCUGUCGAUACAAGAUGGGUCCGCGUCUGAUUAGCUAGUUGGUGAGGUAAAGGCUCACCAAGGCGACGAUCAGUAGCCGGCCUGAGAGGGUGAACGGCCACAUUGGGACUGAGACACGGCCCAAACUCCUACGGGAGGCAGCAGUGGGGAAUCUUCCGCAAUGGGCGAAAGCCUGACGGAGCAAUGCCGCGUGAGUGAAGAAGGCCUUCGGGUUGUAAAACUCUGUCCUUAUCGAAGAGAGAGUGUUGUAGUAACUGACAAUACUAGGACGGUAGAUGAGGAGGAAGCCCCGGCUAACUAUGUG